UACAGAGGUCCCAAGCGUUGUUCGGAUUCAUUGGGCGUAAAGGGUGCGUAGGCGGCGCGGUAAGUCGGGUGUGAAAUCUCGGGGCUUAACUCCGAAACUGCAUUCGAUACUGCCGUGCUUGAGGACUGGAGAGGAGACUGGAAUUUACGGUGUAGCGGUGAAAUGCGUAGAUAUCGUAAGGAAGACCAGUGGCGAAGGCAGCUCGCUGGGACGGUACUGACGCUGAGGCGCGAAAGCGUGGGGAGCAAACAGG
rnacentral:rRNA from 1 species